rnacentral:rRNA from 1 species
CUCGGCUGCAUGAAGCUGGAAUCGCUAGUAAUCGCGGAUCAGAAUGCCGCGGUGAAUACGUUCCCGGGUCUUGUACACACCGCCCGUCACACCAUGAGAGUUGGCAAUACCCAACGUACGUGAUCUAACCCGCAAGGGAGGAAGCGUCCUAAGGUAGGGUCAGCGAUUGGGGUGAAGUCGUAACAAGGUAAC